AUCUACAGCCAUACCCCCCUUAACGGCCCGGAUCUCGUCUGAUCUUAGAAGCUAAGCAGGGUCGGGCCUGGUUAGUACUUGGAGACCGCCUGGGAAUAUCGGGUGCCGUAGGCU
rnacentral:rRNA from 1 species